rnacentral:rRNA from 1 species
GAUGAACGCUGGCGGUAGGCCUAACACAUGCAAGUCGAACGGCAGCACAGGAGAGCUUGCUCCCUGGGUGGCGAGUGGCGGACGGGUGAGGAAUACAUCGGAAUCUACUUUUUCGUGGGGGAUAACGUAGGGAAACUUACGCUAAUACCGCAUACGACCUACGGGUGAAAGCAGGGGACCUUCGGGCCUUGCGCGAUUGAAUGAGCCGAUGUCGGAUUAGCUAGUUGGCGGGGGAAAGGCCCACCAAGGCGACGAUCCGUAGCUGGUCUGAGAGGAUGAUAAGCCACACUGGAACUGAGACACGGUCCAGACUCCUACGGGAGGCAGCAGUGGGGAAUAUUGGACAAUGGGCGCAAGCCUGAUCCAGCCAUACCGCGUGGGUGAAGAAGGCCUUCGGGUUGUAAAGCCCUUUUGUUGGGAAAGAAAUCCAGCUGGCUAAUACCCGGUUGGGAUGACGGUACCCAAAGAAUAAGCACCGGCUAACUUCGUGCCAGCCGCCGCCGUAA